GCAGCUUAUUUUUCCUUUUUCUUUCAUUGGUCACAGUGAUUUCUUUUCAGUGUGUCAUCUUCUCUUAAGUUUCUGAGGGAGUGUUAGCUUGAGGCCUUGCCUUGACAUAAUCAGAUAUAAUCAGAAAAAUGAAAAAUUCCAUAGGAAAGAGAACUAUUUUAGCCAAGGUGUGCGAGAGAAAUACCGUCACUUUCAAGCACUGUUUUCUUCUACUGGAGUCUGCUCAAUAGGGACGUCAGCUUUGCUGGGGCUUCCUUUGACAAGAGAAUCAGAACCGACUGGUGACAUUUGUUUCAAUGAAAGCAACAGUGUGAAGAGUAAGUAGUUUUUCCUAUUAUUCAUCUCAUUCAGUGGAGAUAAUGAACUCCUCUCCACUGCCAAGAUGAGAAACUACCAUUUCUUACACAUGGACACAAAGAUGAGAACAAUAAACACUGAGACUUCAAAAAGGAGGGAAGGAGAAAGAGGAGCAAGACUUGAAAUCUACCUAUCAGAUCUUCGCCUGCUGCUGGAAAUGGCCCUCUCAGUGGACUCAUCGUGGCAUCGGUGGCAGUGGAGAGUCAGAGAUGGCUUCCCCCAUUGUCCAUCAGAAACCACACCGCUGCUCUCUCCAGAGAAAGGGAGACAGAGCUACAACUUGACACAGCGGCGGGUCGUGUUCCCCAACAACAGCAUAUUCCAUCAAGAUUGGGAAGAGGUCUCCAGGAGAUACCCUGGCAACAGAACCUGCACAACCAAAUACACCCUCUUCACCUUCCUGCCCCGGAAUCUCUUUGAGCAAUUUCAUAGAUGGGCUAACCUCUAUUUCCUGUUCCUGGUGAUUUUGAACUGGAUGCCCUCCAUGGAAGUCUUCCACAGAGAAAUCACCAUGUUACCAUUGGCCAUUGUCCUGUUCGUCAUCAUGAUCAAGGAUGGCAUGGAGGACUUCAAGAGACACCGCUUUGAUAAAGCAAUAAACUGCUCCAACAUUCGAAUUUAUGAAAGAAAAGAGCAGACCUACGUGCAGAAGUGCUGGAAGGAUGUGCGCGUGGGAGACUUCAUCCAAAUGAAGUGCAAUGAGAUUGUCCCAGCAGACAUACUCCUCCUUUUUUCCUCGGACCCCAAUGGGAUAUGCCAUCUGGAAACUGCCAGCUUGGAUGGAGAGACAAACCUCAAGCAAAGACGUGUCGUGAAGGGCUUCUCACAGCAGGAGGUACAGUUCGAACCAGAGCUUUUCCACAAUACCAUCGUGUGUGAGAAACCCAACAACCACCUCAACAAAUUUAAGGGUUAUAUGGAGCAUCCUGACCAGACCAGGACUGGCUUUGGCUGUGAGAGUCUUCUGCUUCGAGGCUGCACCAUCAGAAACACCGAGAUGGCUGUUGGCAUUGUCAUCUAUGCAGGCCAUGAGACGAAAGCCAUGCUGAACAACAGUGGCCCCCGGUACAAACGCAGCAAGAUUGAGCGGCGCAUGAACAUAGACAUCUUCUUCUGCAUUGGGAUCCUAAUCCUCAUGUGCCUUAUUGGAGCUGUAGGUCACAGCAUCUGGAAUGGGACCUUUGAAGAACACCCUCCCUUCGAUGUGCCAGAUGCCAAUGGCAGCUUCCUUCCCAGUGCCCUUGGGGGCUUCUACAUGUUCCUCACAAUGAUCAUCCUGCUCCAGGUGCUGAUCCCCAUCUCUUUGUAUGUCUCCAUUGAGCUGGUGAAGCUCGGGCAAGUGUUCUUCUUGAGCAAUGACCUUGACCUGUAUGAUGAAGAGACCGAUUUAUCCAUUCAAUGUCGAGCCCUCAACAUCGCGGAGGACUUGGGCCAGAUCCAGUACAUCUUCUCUGAUAAGACGGGGACCCUGACAGAGAACAAGAUGGUGUUCCGACGUUGCACCAUCAUGGGCAGCGAGUAUUCUCACCAAGAAAAUGGUACAGGAGCUCCCAAGGGCUCCAUCCCUCUUUCUAAAAGGAAAUACCCUGCUCUCCUAAGAAACGAGGAGAUAAAAGACAUUCUCCUGGCUCUCUUAGAGGCUGUGUGGCAUUUCCACAAGUUGCUUCCUGUAUCCCUGUGGUCUUCCUUGUCACAGAUCAGGGCUGUUCCAAUUACUCGUAAACUUUCAUUUGUUUACAAAGGUUAGAAGUUAUCCCAUAUGUGGUUCCCCUUCAGCUGAUCUUUGUCUGGUGCCAGACAAAGCACUUUAUGAGACGAGUUUUUUAUCUGUCAGCAAUGGAUUGGAGACAUUUCCCAAUUGUGUGCCAGUCACACAACCAAGGCUUGGGAAUUUCUCAGGCCACCUUACCUGACAUGUCAGGGCAGGUCUGUGUCUAGGUGCAUGGUCAGAUUUAACACAUCCAGAAGAUGUCUUCUAUUCUAACAGAUCUCUUAGCUUGUCACUGAGGCAAAGUUUUGAUUUAGGAGAUAGGGCUAUAAAAUGCCUGGACUGUUACCUUGCAUGGACUGAAUAUGACUGAUAAAACUGACCUGAUUCCUUCAGCCAUCAUCUGCCCAACUUCGUUCCCCUCCCCACCC
rnacentral:sRNA from 1 species